rnacentral:tRNA from 1 species
GCCGAGGUGGUGAAACUGGUAGACACGCUACCUUGAGGUGGUAGUGCCCGAUUAGGCUUACGGGUUCAAGUCCCGUCCUCGGCA